UACGAAGGGUGCAAGCGUUGUUCGGAAUCACUGGGCGUAAAGCGCACGUAGGCGGGUUCGUGUGUCGAUUGUGAAAGCCCCGGGCUCAACCUGGGAAUUGCAGUCGAAACUGCGGAUCUUGAAUACCUGAGAGGGUGGGGGAAUUGCUGGUGGAGAAGUGAAAUUCGUAGAUAUCAGCAGGAACACCUGAGGCGAAGGCGCCUACCUGGCAGUGUAUUGACGCUGAGGUGCGAAAGCGCGGGGAGCAAAC
rnacentral:rRNA from 1 species